UACGUAGGGUGCAAGCGUUGUCCGGAAUUAUUGGGCGUAAAGAGCUCGUAGGCGGUUCGUCGCGUCGGCUGUGAAAUCCCGAGGCUCAACCUCGGGUCUGCAGUCGAUACGGGCGGACUGGAGUUCGGCAGGGGAGACUGGAAUUCCUGGUGUAGCGGUGAAAUGCGUAGAGAUCCGGAGGAACACCAGUGGCGAAGGCGACACGCUGGGCCGUACCUGACACUGAUGCGCGACAGCAUGGGGAGCAAACAGG
rnacentral:rRNA from 1 species